CAGCCGUAAACUAUGCUCGCUAGGUGUCAGGCAUGGCGCGACCGUGUCUGGUGCCGCAGGGAAGCCGUGAAGCGAGCCACCUGGGAAGUACGGCCGCAAGGCUGAAACUUAAAGGAAUUGGCGGGGGGAGCACAACAACGGGUGGAGCCUGCGGUUUAAUUGGACUCAACGCCGGACAACUCACCGGGAACGACAGCAAUAUGUAGGCCAGGCUGAAGACCUUGCCUGAAUCGCUGAGAGGUGGUGCAUGGCGUCAGUGACU
rnacentral:rRNA from 1 species